rnacentral:rRNA from 1 species
GAGUUUGAUCAUGGCUCAGAUUGAACGCUGGCGGCAUGCCUUACACAUGCAAGUCGAACGGCAGCACGGGAGCUUGCUCCUGGGUGGCGAGUGGCGAACGGGUGAGUAAUGCAUCGGAACGUAUCCUGGAGUGGGGGAUAACGUAGCGAAAGUUACGCUAAUACCGCAUAUUCUGUGAGCAGGAAAGCGGGGGACCUUCGGGCCUCGCGCUCUUGGAGCGGCCGAUGUCGGAUUAGCUAGUUGGUGAGGUAAAGGCUCACCAAGGCGACGAUCCGUAGCAGGUCUGAGAGGAUGAUCUGCCACACUGGAACUGAGACACGGGUCCAGACUCCUACGGGAGGCAGCAGUGGGGAAUUUUGGACAAUGGGGGCAACCCUGAUCCAGCCAUGCCGCGUGAGUGAAGAAGGCCU